rnacentral:rRNA from 1 species
CCUACGGGAGGCAGCAGUAGGGAAUCUUCCACAAUGGACGAAAGUCUGAUGGAGCAACGCCGCGUGAGUGAAGAAGGGUUUCGGAUCGUAAAGUUCUGUUGAAGGGGAAAAAGAGCGGAGAGAGGAAAUGGUCUCCGAUUGAUAUUACCCUUCGAGGAAGUCACGGCUAACUACGUGCCAGCAGCCGCGGUAAUACGUAGGUGGCGAGCGUUAUCCGGAAUGAUUGGGCGUAAAGGGUGCGUAGGCGGCCUGCUAAGUCUGGAGUGAAAGGUACCGGCUCAACCGGUACAGGCUCUGGAAACUGG